CUCGGCAACGGAUAUCUCGGCUCUCGCAUCGAUGAAGAACGUAGCGAAAUGCGAUACUUGGUGUGAAUUGCAGAAUCCCGUGAACCAUCGAGUCUUUGAACGCAAGUUGCGCCCGAAGCCUUCGGGCCGAGGGCACGCCUGCCUGGGCGUCACGCAUCGCGUCGCCCCCCCCUCCUCCUCGCCCUCGGGCGGGGGGUGGUGCUGGGGGC
rnacentral:rRNA from 1 species